UACGUAGGUGGCAAGCGUUGUCCGGAUUUAUUGGGUUUAAAGGGUGCGUAGGCGGUUUUUUAAGUCAGUGGUGAAAUACGGCAGCUCAACUGUCGAGGUGCCAUUGAUACUGGGAAACUUGAGUACUGAUGAGGUGGGCGGAAUGGACGGUGUAGCGGUGAAAUGCUUAGAUAUCGUCCAGAACACCGAUAGCGAAGGCAGCUUACUAAGGAGUAACUGACGCUGAGGCACGAAAGUGUGGGGAUCAAACAGG
rnacentral:rRNA from 1 species